rnacentral:rRNA from 1 species
GGCGAGAGACCGAUAGCGAACAAGUACCGUGGAGGGAAAGAUGAAAAGAACUUUGAAAAGAGAGUUAAACAGUACGUGAAAUUGUUGAAAGGGAAACGAUUGAAGCCAGUCGUACCUACGGGUAAUCAGCCUUUCGGGUGNAAUUCGGUGGGGNGUGAAGAGUUAAACCCCNCCACNUUUUGCAUGCCCGUGCGCUGGGGUGUACUUGCCCGUNUGNUAGGUAACNUCCAUUUUGGNAGUCCUAAAAUGN